CCUACGGGUGGCAGCAGUGGGGAAUAUUGGGCAAUGGGCGCAAGCCUGACCCAGCAAUGCCGCGUGAAGGAAGAAGGCUUUCGGGUUGUAAACUUCUUUGUCAGGGGAAGAGCAGAAGACGGUACCCUGAACCCACACCACGGCUAACUACGUGCCAGCAGCCGCGGUAAUACGUAGGUGGCAAGCGUUGUCCGGAUUUACUGGGUGUAAAGGGCGUGUAGCCGGGAAGGCAAGUCAGAUGGUAAAUCUGGAGGCUCAACCUCCAAAUUGCAUUUGAAACUGUUUUUCUUGAGUACGGGAGAGGCAGGCGGAAUGCGUGGUGUAGCGGUGAAAUGCGUAGAUAUAAGGAGGAACACCAGUGGCGAAGGCGGUGUGCUGGACAGCAACUGACGGUGAGGCGCGAAAGCGUGGGGAGCGAACAGGAUUAGAUACCCCUGUAGUC
rnacentral:rRNA from 1 species